ACACACUCCUACGUUUCUGUGCAGUCCCCAUUUCCGUGUGGGGUCAGUUAAAAGUGACAUUGUGAAGUAGUCAAAAGUUAAGCCUUGGGUACCAUUGUGAAGCUGGCACAGGGUGCCCUAGGUGACAUUGUGAAGUAGGCAAAAGGCAUUUUAUUCAUUCAAUCAGCAUUGGUUGGGUCCAUGCUCCAGGUACCCCUGAUAUAAAGACAAGUAAGAGCACGCCUCGCCACAGACAAAAAGAACUGAGCCAUACAGACAAACAGGCAGGCUCUCUCUGUUGCCCAGGCUGGAGUGCAGCACAGUCUCAGCUUACUGCAACCUCUGCCUCCUAGGCUCAAGUGAUUCUCACCUCAACCUCUAGAGGAGAAGCUGGGCUAUGAGGGUUUCUGCCCAUUCGCUCUGCAUUGAGCUGGGAAGGACGGUCUAUGGUAGAAGCUUCCUGGAACAACUGCUGGAAUAAGGAUCCAGAGUGGAAGGUGGAAGCUCCCUCUUGGGAUAAAGGAUCCAGAGUUUGAAAAAUAAAAAAAAAAAGGAACUGGCACUCAGUUCUCUUCAGGAUGGCUAUAGUGGAGCCACUUACGUGAAUUCUCAAGGCUGGAUAUGCAAAACAGUUGCCCUCUGGUGGAAGACAAAGUCUUUGUCUUCUGAGAAAAACCAUCUCCCUGCUUACGGAGGCCAGUGGAUUCCAUCCUAGAGGCUGUGUUGACUGUAUCUCCAAAUAGGCAGUAACGAGGCAUUUUGAUUCCCACGACUCCAGCAGCGCAGGGCCCUGAAAUGAAAGACAGAAAGCAGGAAGUAGAGGCAAUAGAAAUUGCAGAGUAGAGUGAAAACAGGUGAGCUUAUCGCCUGGUCACAAUCCUGAAUACUCCUGUAAUAGAGAAGUGGCUGAGAAUGUAAAAUGUGAACUGGGACUUUUGCUUUAAAUGGAUGAAUCCAAUGAAGCAUCGUUAUUGAAUGCAUGCGAUCAUAAAGUAUUCUGCUCUCGCAAAGAGAACAACGUGCAGCAAACAGGAAGACGUCGGAGACCCAGAUCACAAAGGCGAUUUUAAAUAGAAGACUCUCAGGAAGGAUGAAGACGGGCCCACUGCCUGCUAACUGUGCUAAACCACACGACCCUGAACUUCACACUGAUGGAGAGCACUGUAGACUUGAAGCCUCAAUGGUUCAAGCUUGUUUUAUUUUUAUUUUAAGGUGGCAUUUCUGGGAUUGGUGGCAUGACAAUGGAAGACAGAAGACAAGACAAAGGCAUGACCUUCCUUAAGCAUUUCAUGAGCCAGGCGAAUGCAGCUGAAGGGGGAAGCCUGUGGCACGAGGAGGUUCCAGCAGGCUGAAGGCGAGACUAUGCAGUGCGGCAUAUUAGGUAGGAAAGAAGGGUUAUUCAGUCCAGUAUCUCCAUGAAAGGACAGAAUGCAAGGAGCUGCUGGUUGAAGAAGUUACAGACUAACUCAGAAACUGCAAAGCUGGGUUUUAGGCAACGCCUUGCAAAAGCCAAUCUAGAUAACUUCUGAGUUCCUCUCUUACUAAGCUUUUCCAUAACACUUGUAACUCAUCUCAAAUCUUGAUGUUCAAGGCUACUGAAUUAAACUAAGAGACAGCCUCUUAGGGGUCCCUACACAACAAACUGCCACCUAGCUUGGUCUAUGAACAAAGAGCCUAGCUCAGGUACUUAUUACUAAUAGCUGAGUCUCAGCCAGUCGCAGUAGCUGAGCUUCAGCCAAUCACAGGCUGUCAACUGAUUGGACCUUGACCAAAUCAGGGAAACAUGGAGUUGUGACCAAUCAAGUUGUUUCUGUUUCUCACUUCUGUUUUCUGUCUACAAACACUGCCUGCCCAGCUGCCCAGGGAAGCUCUCUGAACCUCUUCUGGUUCGAAGGGCCAUCUGAUUUGAAAAUUGUUCGUUGCUCAAUUAAACUGUGUUAAAUUAUUUAGUAUGCAUAAAGCUUUUCUUUUAACAAGGCUAUGUAGCUUUCAUGGUCUUUGCAAGUGACCCAUGUACUUCAUGUACUACUGCAGUGGCGGGCAGGGGAGGGGGUAUAAAUAUUAUAGGAGUUUCACCAGCUGUGCUUUUUCCCCUCAUAGAUAAUCUAAUCCACUUAAGGUACUAUAAUAUUUUAGUGGGAAAAUGGAUAGGAGUUAGGGGUGGGGAGAGAGGAAAUGAGGAGGAGACAAAUGAAAUCAUAGGUGUGAUUUAAAUAGGAAGUCCAAAGCUUCUUGUUUUUGUACACAUUUGCUGUGUAUCAUUUCAAUAGUCAGAGGUGCUCUCAAAGGUCUUGUUCUUAGAGCUCUCCAGGAGCUAAGUAUCUAAGUGUCUCAGGAUGUAUCAUGGGGCCUCACAUUUGGCAAAAAGAAUUAAGACUAAACAUUAGGUGAAGCUGAUCACACAUGAAGACCUUUUAUCCUUUCUGAUUUACGUGGUGCACAGCAGUACAUGUGGGUCCCUAUUUGUUAAGAUGCUCAACUCCAUACCAGAGUGAACUCCAAUGCGAAUCCAUAUUGGGAGGCCAGGGAGAUGCUCCAGCUCAAAGGUCCCCAUGAAGCUGAGGAUUUCCAAGGCCAUCUUGGCAAUGUCUACCGCAUGCCGAUUGCCAUUUCUCUUAGGCAAACCACUGGCCACCAUGUAAGCAUCACCAAUGGUUUCCACCUGUGGAAACAGUUGCUCAUGAGUGGCUCUGCCACUUUGAAAAGCAUAGAGGUUCAACAGAAUCAGUUAAUCACAUAUCACACACAAAAAGUGAUUAGGGAACACAGUACGAGCAUAGCCCUUUACACUUUUUCUGGGGCCAGUUCAAUCUGUUCUACGCUGAUUUCUUUGCGGUUUUUAUAGUCUAGUUAAUGGAUGAUAAAAUAGCUAAAAAGAAAUUUAGCCGUUUAAAAGUACUUCACAGUUAUACAAAUUGUCCAGAUGUGGUGACAAUUCUAGAAAUGUUCAAAUGAAUAAUCUGAAUGGCUUUAUGUAAUUUGAGGAACACCCUGCAUUACCUGAAAAGUAAUCCUUUAGCAAAUGUCUACACACUGUUUGACAGAAUAUUUUGUAAUGUGUAAUUGUACACAUUUUUGUAGCAUGGUUUUCUAUUCAUUAUAACCUCAGUGUCUUCUCUGCUUCAUUUCUAGUCAGCCUAAACACUGCCUAUUUUUUGGAGGCGAUUUAAGAGUAUGCCAUUUUGUCUAAAUUUAGUAUCCCAAAUUCAUUCCUGCUGCACUUCCUGUUGUACCUUUUCUGCCGCUUCUUAAAGUUAAAUGGUAAUUUUGACUUCUCACCCCUCUAAUUCUUCUACUUCUAUUCACUUUUAGCUCAGAGUCAACCAUCAAUUCACUAAAUGUAAACUAGAGAGGACAAGAGCAGUAACAGAAACAGCCAAUUCAGGCUCUGAUGACCUCAGGGAGUACCAUGACUUGUUUCAGCCUGUUAGGAGAUGAGGCUACCUUGUAGACAUCAUGAUGAUCGACAAUGUGGUCAAAACUCUUAUAGAUGUCGUUAAGCAUGUCCACCACUUCCAUGGGUGUGCUGUAUUUGCAGAUGGUAGUGAAGCCUACAAUAUCGCUGAAGUAGAUUGUAACUUCCUCAUAUAGUUCCGGCUCCACAAUGCCUUUCUCCUUCAGCGACUUGACCACUAGCCUAGAUAAGGAAGGAAAAAAAAUGCCUUCAACUUCAGCAAAUUUUUUCUUGUUUCACAAAAAUCCUUCAGAUAGUAGGAAUUGUCUACAAAGAAUUCUAGAAUUUGAGACUUCCAGUGAAUCAAGUGAAUAGGAAACAAAGAGAGGUUGUGUACAUCACAUACAUGAACAUUACACACAUACACAUAUAACACGUGUUGUGAACACAGGUGAAUAUAGGCAGGUUCAACAUUAACUUAGUGUUUGAUUAUUAACACUAAUAUAUAUAAGCAGAUAAGUUUCGUACCAUAAAGACCCUCAUAUAUAUAUAUAUACACACACAUAUAUACUUGCCCACUUUUGCUUCUCUAUUGAUAAUCAGCUUCUUACAGAUAUGGCUCUAUAUGCAGAAGCUGAGGAGAGUGUGGUAUUACUUAAAUCACCACAGGUGUUUGAUCUGAAUUUCUCAACAAAGUCGAUAGUUUUACUCUCCUGGCAUAUGUAACAUGGCAUUGCUUAACAUUACUGUGAAAUAAUAAUGUAUUUAAAUAUAAAUUUUGAUAUAUUCUGAACCAGAGUUUAUUUGAUAUAUUUUGAAACCAGAUUUGGGUACUUUAAAAAGCAAAAUCAAUUAUGCAAAUAAAUUAAAUGAUGCUAAAA